GUGCCAGCCGCCGCGGUAAUACCGGCAGCUCGAGUGAUGACCGAUUUUAUUGGGCCUAAAGCGUUCGUAGCCGGCCGGGCAAGUUCGUCGGGAAAUCUACCAGCUCAACUGGUAGGCGUCCGGCGAAAACUGUUUGGCUUGGGACAGGAAGACCCGAGGGGUACGUCCGGGGUAGGAGUGAAAUCCUGUAAUCCUGGACGGACCACCGAUGGCGAAAGCACCUCGGGAGGACUGAUCCGACGGUCAGGAACGAAAGCUGGGGUCUCGAACCGGAUUAGAUACCCGUGUAGUCC
rnacentral:rRNA from 1 species